rnacentral:rRNA from 1 species
CGAAUGGGGAAACCCAGUGUGAUUCGUCACACUAUCAUUAACUGAAUCCAUAGGUUAAUGAGGCGAACCGGGGGAACUGAAACAUCUAAGUACCCCGAGGAAAAGAAAUCAACCGAGAUUCCCCCAGUAGCGGCGAGCGAACGGGGAGGAGCCCAGAGCCUGAAUCAGCAUGUGUGUUAGUGGAAGCGUCUGGAAAGGCGCGCGAUACAGGGUGACAGCCCCGUACACAAAAGCGCAUGUGCUGUGAGCUCGAUGAGUAGGGCGGGACACGUGGUAUCCUGUCUGAAUAUGGGGGGACCAUCCUCCAAGGCUAAAUACUCCUGACUGACCGAUAGUGAACCAGUACCGUGAGGGAAAGGCGAAAAGAACCCCGGCGAGGGGAGUGAAAAAGAACCUGAAACCGUGUACGUACAAGCAGUGGGAGCACAGGUUUACCUGUGUGACUGCGUACC